rnacentral:rRNA from 1 species
UACGUAGGUGACAAGCGUUGUCCGGAUUUACUGGGCGUAAAGAGCGCGCAGGCGGUCGAUCAAGUCGAGUGUGAAAGCCCCCGGCUCAACUGGGGAGGGUCAUUCGAUACUGAUCGACUCGAAGGCAGGAGAGGGUAGUGGAAUUCCCGGUGUAGUGGUGAAAUGCGUAGAUAUCGGGAAGAACACCAGUGGCGAAAGCGCUCUACUGGGCCAUAACUGACACUGAGGGACGAAAGCUAGGGGAGCGAAAGGG